rnacentral:rRNA from 1 species
UACGGGGGGGAGCAAGCGUUGUUCGGAUUUACUGGGCGUAAAGGGCGCGUAGGCGGUCGUGACAAGUCACUUGUGAAAUCUCCGGGCUUAACUCGGAACGGUCAAGUGAUACUGUCGGACUAGAGUACAGAAGGGGCAACUGGAAUUCUCGGUGUAGCGGUGAAAUGCGUAGAUAUCGGGAGGAACACCAGUGGCGAAGGCGGUUGCCUGGAGCUUUGCUGACGCUGAGGCGCGAAAGCGUGGGGAGCGAUCCGG